UACGAAGGGGGCUAGCGUUGCUCGGAAUCACUGGGCGUAAAGGGUGCGUAGGCGGGUCUUUAAGUCAGGGGUGAAAUCCUGGAGCUCAACUCCAGAACUGCCUUUGAUACUGGAGAUCUUGAGUCCGGGAGAGGUGAGUGGAACUGCGAGUGUAGAGGUGAAAUUCGUAGAUAUUCGCAAGAACACCAGUGGCGAAGGCGGCUCACUGGCCCGGUACUGACGCUGAGGUGCGAAAGCGUGGGGAGCAA
rnacentral:rRNA from 1 species